GCACCCUUUAUAAAUGACUAACGUUGACAUUUUAGAGACUUUACAGUGGAGACAGAAGGGACAUAUUGUAGGGGUUUAAGGUAGAUGUGUAAAUCAGGUUUAAAAUGUCUGAGAAGCAUGGGGAGAAAUGUCCAUUCUGGGAUUGAAAAUUGGUUUGCUAAGGCUGUGAUAAGACUGGAAUGUCACCCCCAUACGUGGUGAGAAGCCCUGGCGUUUUGGAGGACGCUCAGUGCGGUUUGUUAGGGCACACCUAAUGGCAGUUUGGAAAAGAGGCAUUUAUAACUCCAUCCGAGGAGUGCAAAAGAUUAUCUUCUGUCUUUGGAAAGGGCCUAAAGAGUUACGGAAUGUGUGAAUGGCUUUAUUUCAGAGAGGAUACUAUUUCUCUUUCCUUUCGUUUCCUUUCUUUUUCUACCUGUCUUGUUUUGUUUUGUUUUUCAAGGAAGGCUUUUAGUUAAGUAUCUGGGUAAAGAGCUUAACUGUAGAGACUUGCCGUGCAGUAGAUUAUCCCCUGGAAGUUUCCAUUGCACCGGUGCUUUCAGAUAAAGAAAAAUACGGUGAACUGUGUAUCGCAAAUAGGUUUGCAAACGCUGCACACGAGAUCGGCCGCCGCUUGGACCUUUACCAGGAAAGGUCCCUUUGCCUUUAAGAAGAACCUAAGGGUGUCCAGAAGCUGCUGCACACUGGGCUGGAAGGAUAUAGCAGAGGCUGACACACAUGGAGUUCUGCAGGAUUCCUUCAACCUGGGAGUGAAAGGGGGCUGAGGGUAAGGGUGGGGUGCGGAGAGAAGGCCUUCUCCCAGGAUCUAAGUGUUACUGCAAAGGCCUUCUCUGACUACCUUCAAUAAAAUAGCUCUCUGAGACCA